AUAUCAAUAAGCGGAGGAAAAGAAACCAACAGGGAUUGCCCUAGUAACGGCGAGUGAAGAGGCAAAAGCUCAGAUUUGAAAUCCGGCCCCCCUGGGGCCGGAGUUGUAGUCUGCAGAGGGCGCUUCGGCAAGGCCCCCGCCCCGAGUCCCUUGGGACAGGACGCCGUAGAGGGUGAGAGCCCCGUGUCUGGGCGGGCGGCUGAGCCAUGUGAAGCCCCUUCAAGGAGUCGAGUUGUUUGGGAAUGCAGCUCUAAACGGGUGGUAAAUUCCAUCUAAGGCUAAAUACCGUCGCGAGAGACCGAUAGCGCACAAGUA
rnacentral:rRNA from 1 species